AUAAGACAAACCCCCCUUACCCCCCAUUAAGCCUACACUAGAGAAUUACCAAUAACAUCUUGCCAAACCCCAAAAACAAGAAUAGUAAUACAAUAAUGUUUAUAAGCUUAAUGCUGCCCAAAAAUAAAUACUAUGAUCUUUCAACCACCCGUGGGGCCGCACCCCCUUACUUUAAAGAUUCGCCUUCCUUAGACAGACAUCUCCUCAGAUCUGUUAAUACAACCCCAAGUAAA